UCCUUGGUGGUCCAGUGGUUAGGACUCGGCACUUUUAUUGCAGUGGCCUGGGUUCAAUUCCUGGUCAGGGAA